rnacentral:rRNA from 1 species
ACGUGAGCAACCUGCCCAGAAGAGGGGGAAUAGCCCGACGGAAACUACGGAUUAAUACCGCGUACGGUCCCGCAGGAUAUCCUGCGACGACUAAAGGUAGGCCUUUGUGCUGCCGCUUCUGGAUGGGCUCGCGGCCUAUCAGCUUGUUGGUGAGGUAAAGGCUCACCAAGGCGACGACGGGUAACUGAUCUGAGAGGAUGAUCAGUCACACUGGAACUGAGACACGGUCCAGACACCUACGGGUGGCAGCAGUCGAGAAUCAUUCGCAAUGGGCGAAAGCCUGACGGUGCGACGCCGCGU